GCCCUGGUAGCUCAAUCAGGUAGAGCACCCGCUUCGUAAGCGGGGGGUUGAGGGUUCAAAUCCCUCCCAGGGCU
rnacentral:tRNA from 1 species